rnacentral:misc_RNA from 1 species
GAUGAAGAACGUAGCGAAAUGCGGUAAGUAAUGUGAAUUGCAGAAUUCCGUGAAUCAUCGAAUCUUUGAACGCACAUUGCGCCCCCUGGUAUUCCGGGGGGCAUGCCUGUCCGAGCGUCAUUGCAACCUUCAAGCGCGGCUUGUGUGUUGGGUCUCGUCCCCCGUGGACGGGCCCGAAAGGCAGUGGCGGCGUCCCGACAUGGUGCCCGAGCGUAUGGGAAUCCUCUUCCGCUCGAAUCGGCCCAUGCGGCGCUGGUCGUAACCAAAUUUUUUACCGGUUGACCUCGGAUCAGGUAGGGAUACCCGCUGAACUUAAGCAUAUCAAUAAGCGGAGGA